UACGUAGGGUGCAAGCAUUAAUCGGAUUUACUGGGCGUAAAGGGCGUGUAGGCGGAUAUGAAAGUCGAAUGUGAAAACCCGAAACUCAACUUCGGAAACGCAUUCGAAACUUCAUACCUAGAGGAUAGAUGGAGAAAACGGAAUUCCACAUGUAGCGGUGAAAUGCGUAGAUAUGUGGAAGAACACCUGUGGCGAAGGCGGUUUUCUAAUUUAUUCCUGACGCUGAGGCGCGAGAGCUAGGGGAGCAAACAGG
rnacentral:rRNA from 1 species